rnacentral:rRNA from 1 species
GCUAACGCAUUAAGCACUCCGCCUGGGGAGCACGUCCGCAAGGUUGAAACUUACAGGUUUUGUCUGAAGCCCGCAUAAGCGGUCGCGCAUGCGGAUUAAUUGAAAGCAACGCGAAGAACCUUACCAGGUCUUGACAUCCUUUGACCACUCUGGAGACAGAGCUUUCCCUUCGGGGACAAAGUGACAGGUGGUGCAUGGUUGUCGUCAGCUCGUGUCGUGAGAUGUUGGGUUAAGUCCCGCAACGAGCGCAACCCUUGAUUUUAGUUGCCAGCAUUUAGUUGGGCACUCUAAAGUGACUGCCGGUGCAAGCCGGAGGAAGGUGGGGAUGACGUCAAAUCAUCAUGCCCCUUAUGACCUGGGCUACACACGUGCUACAAUGGAUAGUACAAAGGGUCGCGAAGCCGCGAGGUGGAGCUAAUCCCAUAAAACUAUUCUCAGUUCGGAUUGUAGGCUGCAACUCGCCUACAUGAAGCCGGAAUCGCUAGUAAUCGUGGAUCAGCAUGCCACGGUGAAUACGUUCCCGGGCCUUGUACACACCGCCCGUCACACCACGAGAGUUUGUAACACCCGAAGUCGGUAGGGUAACCUUUAUGGAGCCAGCCGCCGAAGGUGGGACAGAUAAUUGGGGUGAAGUCGUAACAAGGUAGCCGUAUCGGAAGGUGCGGCUGG